UGCAGUCGAACGGAAUACCAUGAGUAGCAUACAAGUGGUGUUUAGUGGCGAAUGGGUGCGUAACACGUGGAUACAUUCCGGGAAGCGGGGGAUAGCCCAGGGAAACUUGGAUUAAUACCGCAUGUGAUCGAAAGAUCAAAGACGGGGACCGCAAGGCCUGUCACUUCCCGAUUGGUCCGCGGCCUAUCAGCUAGUUGGCGGGGUAAAAGCCCACCAAGGCGACGACGGGUAGCUGGUCUGAGAGGACGACCAGCCACACUGGAACUGAGACACGGUCCAGACACCUACGGGUGGCAGCAGUCGAGAAUCUUUCACAAUGGGGGCAACCCUGAUGGAGCGACGCCGCGUGGAGGAUAAGGUCUUCGGAUUGUAAACUCCUGUCAUGCGUGAACAAGAUUGCAGGGUUAAUAACCCGAGCAAGUUGAUGGUAACGCAAGAGGAAGAGACGGCUAACUCUGUGCCAGCAGCCGCGGUAAUACAGAGGUCUCAAGCGUUGUUCGGAAUCACUGGGCGUAAAGGGUGCGUAGGUGGCGUGGUAAGUCAGAUGUGAAAGCCCGGGGCUCAACCUCGGAAUUGCAUCCGAUACUACCAUGCUUGAGUACUGGAGAGGUGACUAGAAUUCUAGGUGUAGCAGUGAAAUGCGUAGAUAUCUAGAGGAAUACCAAAGGCGUAGGCAGGUCACUGGACAGUUACUGACACUGAGGCACGAAGGCCAGGGGAGCGAACGGGAUUAGAUACCCCGGUAGUCCUGGCAGUAAACGGUG
rnacentral:rRNA from 1 species